UUUCCGUAGGUGAACCUGCGGAAGGAUCAUUAUCGUUGGGCUUAUGCCUCUCGAGAUAGCACCCAUUGGCUAUUAGUACCUAUUGUUUCCUCAGCAAGAUGUCUUGCUAAUGGGGACCCUAUAAAACUCUUUGUAGUAGCUCUAAACGUCAAAUAAUCAAUAUAUUACAACUUUCAACAACGGAUCUCUUGGCUCUG
rnacentral:misc_RNA from 1 species